rnacentral:rRNA from 1 species
AUUGAACGCUGGCGGCAUGCCUUACACAUGCAAGUCGAACGGCAGCAUGGAGAGCUUGCUCUCUGAUGGCGAGUGGCGAACGGGUGAGUAAUGCAUCGGAACGUACCGUGUAAUGGGGGAUAACGUAGCGAACGUUACGCUAAUACCGCAUACGACCUGAGGGUUAAAGCAGGGGAUCGCAAGACCUUGCGUUAUACGAGCGGCCGAUGUCAGAUUAGCUAGUUGGUGAGGUAAAGGCUCACCAAGGCGACGAUCUGUAGCGGGUCUGAGAGGAUGAUCCGCCACACUGGGACUGAGACACGGCCCAGACUCCUACGGGAGGCAGCAGUGGGGAAUUUUGGACAAUGGGGGCAACCCUGAUCCAGCCAUGCCGCGUGAGUGAAGAAGGCCUUCGGGUUGUAAAGCUCUUUCGGCCGGGAAGAAAUCGCACAGGCUAAUACUCUGUGUGGAUGACGGUACCGGCAUAAGAAGCACCGGCUAACUACGUGCCAGCAGCCGCAGUAA